GUAGCCACACCAAUGAAACAGCCAAUCAGCCCACACCAUGGGUUCACAACAGCUCUGCUCUUUGCAGGUGCAUCAAUGCCUUCGAUUUGGGACUGCACAGGCACAUAAACUUUGGGAUGAUUUUGUUUAAUCUUUUAAUUGAUCACUUAAUAUGAGUACAUACUAGAAGAAAAGGUCCUUUGGUGUAUUGUCAUAAAUAGGUCAUGGCAGAUAAUAAUCAAUGGAAAUGUUAAGUUAUUAAAAUUAUUAUUUGCAAGUUCUACUCCAACUUACAGUGGCUCUUCAGAGUAAUGUGAGUGCUUGGGCCUGAAUGAACUCCUUGGGAUAGGGAUGUGCAAAUUGACUUGAGUUUGAAACAGAAUUUGAACUGGCCUAGUUUGAAGGUUCCAGCUCAGACUGGACCAGGCAUCAAAAAGAUAGAGCUAAUCCCUGUACAAACUGAGUCAAGCCCAGUUCAAACAGGAUCGGUUUGAAUGUGGCUGAAGGGCUCGAGCCUCCAUUUUCUCAAGUGGUGGCCAUUUUGUGAUACAUGUCACUUUCAGUGAUUGGCCGAGCUGAAGUUGCCCUGAUUGGCGAGAUGUGUCUGGCCCUUUGGUUUGCUUCAAAAUUGAGCCACUCAGGGAUAACUGUCGCCCCAAUGGCCAGGGGGGAGGGACAAGGGGGGUGCUCCGAAAGGAUGGUGAUUCAAGUUAUAUGUAAAGGCCACCAUGUGGCCUAGGAAAAUCACUCUGCUGAGAGAUGGGAGAGAGCUGCUAUGCUGCCUGCCUGCUGGCUGUGGAGGCCUGGUCUCCUGCCCUGUGCUUUUUUCGUCUCCCACCCCCCACAUUUUUAAUUUUUUUUCAAGAAUUUUUUUCAUGGCUGGCUUUAAAAAAAAUAUUUCCUGCAGCGAGUGAGUGGGGCCCUAUUCUCAUACUAGCCCACUGCCAGUCAGGUUGCAGGCUUUGGCCGGAGGCCUCUUGCACAUCCCCCCCUUCCACCCACUUUUCUGACUGCCAUCCUGAGGUUGAAUUUAUAUUUAUCCCUACAUUUUCUGCAGCCAGGCAACAGGCUGGUCUCUGGCCUGCCUAUUGCUGGGUCAUUGGCCUUAAAAAAAACCCCUAUAUAAUUAAUUCUCUUAGCCGGUGCGUGUCCUCAAUUUGGUGGCGGAACUCUCGCGACAUAUUGUGAGAGUUCUGGCCCAGCGAGAAUUGAGGGGAAAGGAAAAAUGGAGGCUGCUGUGGCCGCAAAAUGGCCAGAGGAGGUGGCCUCAGCUGGCCGCUGGGAGGCGGAGGCGGCAGGACAGCCUGGCCUGGCCUGGCCAGGCCAGGCUGUUCCAGGAAUGAAAGUGGUGACGGCGGCGGCCCAACCUGGCGGGAUGCGGAGGCAGCUGGACGGCCUGGCCUGGCCAUGCCAGGGUAUGGAAGAGGCGGUGGCAGCCAACGGGAGCAGGAGGCAGCGGUGGAACGGCAAGGCCCAGGCGAGGGGAGAGGAACGAAAUAUAACGGGCGGCGAAAGGUUUUGAACAGCUUCAGUAUGAUAGGAAUGGAACCUUCAGGAUCUUAAGGAUUUUAUCUUGGAGUGCCAUAGAGUCAAACAACAGGAAAAGUCCAUCACCUUCAUGUCCUGCUUGAGAACUUCCUGGAGGCAUCUGGCUGGUUGCUAUUGGAGACAGAAUCGCCACUGCUACUAAAAAGACUACAUUUCCCCAAAAGACUUUUCCAGGAUGCAGGAACAACCCCACUCCCCUUUCCCAACAGAAGCCACAUCACUGCAUCUAUGCCUGACUUCUCCCUGAUAUUCUCAUAAUCAUGUGAUGCAGCAUUCACAUAAGAGGCUGCUAUUCAUAUCUGUGAGAUCUCCCAGUUCCUCAAGAACCAUCACUCUCAGGACCAUGUGAUGGCCAGUUAUGGGGCUCAGCAGAGGAGAAGAAAUUGAUAACAGUAAUCCACCCUUCACCCUCAGUUAGCAAUGAUAAAGAACACCUGCUCGCUUUGGGAGGGGGGAAAAACAUUUUUAUUCAGAACUUUGUAAACCUUUUGGCAGUAUCCCCUCACCCAUCAGCCCAGGCUUAGGAGGGGUGCCAUUCUUGGAAGUUCUCCCCACCCCCGCAACAGAAGAGGAGUGCUCAAGUCCAAACUCAGAAACUUUUCAUUUCAAAACAUCCCCAAAGCCUACACAGAUUAACUUUCCCCCACAUAUCUGCUGCUGAUGUGGGGUAAAAUUCUCUUUCCCACUUAGCAGGAUACUACAAGCAAACCAAGCUACCGUGGAAUGAGUUUUCUUAUUUGUAUAUUACCAUGGAUUGACAGGUAAAGGAAGAGCCCAACCAAACUUAUCUGUCUGCGUUAUUAAUGGUUCAAUCUGGUUCUGACUUUUGCUGAUGCUAGAAACCUUCAACCAACUGCAACUUCUCUUCAAUCAUAACAAAAAAGCCACCCACAUUUUGUUUGACAAAAACAAAAACUUCUGUUUUGUGCAUGUAUGAUACUUCAGAGCUCAUUUUUCUGCCAGAAAAUGUGUGUCUGCCCAAACCCUUUAGAUGCUGUGAGUUACUCAGUUGGGAACAACAGGCACCGUUGCCUGUGGCUGUUUGGGGGAUACCAGCUGCUCCUUGUCAUGACUGACAUUGUGUUCAACUCUUCAUCUCCCAAAUCUAUUUCAUUUUGAUGGUGGUAAAUAAAUACACUGGUGUGCUUGCUCUGUGGAACUCAGACAAGAGCUAUAGCCUGCAAUAUGUUGGACGUGAUUCCUUAUGUUAUCAGUGCCCUUGAAAAAGAUAUGUGAGAGGUCCCAUUCUGAAUUUGCCCAGAAAGCAAUUAUAGAAGCGUAAAAUUCCUGCAGCAAAUUGGUGGGAGGCAACAGGGGGGAGAUCGGAAAUGCACUAAAUGCACAGCAGCAGAAAUAUUUUAAAUCAGAACCAUGAGAGUGGCCUAUUGUAUCUACUUUUGUAUAUUUUUAUGAGGUUAGUGUCCAAGCACAAAUUCAUUUUAUUGUAUGCGUUUACUAAUUAUAAACAAUCUAUACAGAAUGGGGAUAAUUAGUACAGAGUUGCUGGAUUCAUAAGAGAACAGAUGUCACAAUUAAAUGUGUUUUCCUUCAAAGCAACACAAUUCUGUGCAACAGCUGAUACACUCCAGUGUUUAAUUUUCAAGAACUGCAAUCUAUAGCUGUAGAAUACCACUUUUUUUUUUAAAGAGCAGUUUAAGUGUUUAGUGCACUGAACGUGUCAUGUUGCUAGCAUGUCGAUUUUAAGGAGUAGUGAUCAGGAGAAGGAAGACAUGCCAACCAACCAUAGAUUUGGAAAAAAAGGUUCACUGAAUCAGUUGUGGUCAGCUACUACCAAAGUGUAGUAGCUAAGACAGUAGCAUCAGGACAGUAAUGCAUGGGAAAGUCAGCAAUUUGAAUUCAUCCUACACUUUUGGCCAAGUAUAAUGUAUGCAAAUCUAAAACCUAGAAGGACAUUCCAAACUGAAUAACUAUAUUAUUGUAUUGUAUUGUUAUUGUUUGGUGAAGAGGUGUUGCCUUAAUAUAUAUGGACUAACAUGGCAUAUCA